GAUGAACGCUGGCGGCGUGCUUAACACAUGCAAGUCGAACGAGAAAUGGAGACGGAAACCUUCGGGCGGAAGGCUUCAUUUCGAGUGGCGGACGGGUGAGUAACGCGUGGGUAACCUGCCUCAUACAGGGGGAUAACAGUUGGAAACGACUGUUAAUACCGCAUAAGACCACAGCACCGCAUGGUGCGGGGGUAAAAACUCCGGUGGUAUGAGAUGGACCCGCGUUCGAUUAGCCAGUUGGCGGGGUAACGGCCCACCAAAGCGACGAUCGAUAGCCGAUCUGAGAGGAUGACCGGCCACAUUGGGACUGAGACACGGCCCAAACUCCUACGGGAGGCAGCAGUGGGGAAUAUUGCACAAUGGGGGAAACCCUGAUGCAGCGACGCCGCGUGAGUGAAGAAGUGCUUCGGUAUGUAAAGCUCUAUCAGCAGGGAAGAAAAUGACGGUACCUGAGUAAGAAGCCCCGGCUAACUACGUG
rnacentral:rRNA from 1 species